UACGUAGGGUCCGAGCGUUGUCCGGAAUUACUGGGCGUAUAGAGCUCGUAGGUGGUUUGUCGCGUUGUUCGUGAAAACUCACAGCUCAACUGUGGGCGUGCGGGCGAUACGGGCAGACUUGAGUACUGCAGGGGAGACUGGAAUUCCUGGUGUAGCGGUGGAAUGCGCAGAUAUCAGGAGGAACACCGGUGGCGAAGGCGGGUCUCUGGGCAGUAACUGACGCUGAGGAGCGAAAGCGUGGGGAGCGAACAGG
rnacentral:rRNA from 1 species